GACAUAGGUCGCAAACGUUAUCCGGAAUUAUUGGGCGUAAAGGAUGCGUAGAUGGUUCAGUAAGUUACUGGUGGGAAAUCGAGGCUCAACCUCGUGGAAGUCAGUAAUACUGCUGAACUUGAGUGCAGGAGAGGUUAACGGAACUUUAUGUGGAGCGGUAAAAAUGCGUAGAUAUAUGAAAGAACAUCAAUAUGGCGAAGGCAGUUAACUAUUCUGUUGCUGACAUUGAGGCAUGAAAAGCGUUGGGGGAGCAAAAACGGGAUUAGAAA
rnacentral:rRNA from 1 species